rnacentral:snRNA from 1 species
AUCGCUUCUCAGCCUUUUGGCUAAGAUCAAGUGUAGUAUCUGUCCUUAUCAGUUUAACAUCUGAUACGUCCUCUAUCCGAGAACAUUAUAUUAAAUGUAUUUUUGGAGCAGGGAGAUGGAAUAAGAGCUUGCUCCGUCCACUCCACACAUCGACCCGGUAUUGCAGUACCUCUGGGAACAGUGCAUCAAAU